rnacentral:lncRNA from 1 species
UUUUUUUUUUUUUUAGUAGAGAUGGGGUUUCACCACGUUGGCCAGGCUGGUCUCGAACUCCUGACCUCAGGUGAUCCGCCCGCCUCGGCCUCCCAAAGUGCUGGAAUUACAGGCAUGAGCCACCGUGCCCGGCCUUUUACAGAUAAUUUUAAGUCAAACUUUGCAUAGUUUUCCAAGUUGAGUUAAAAUUCUCUAUGAAAAUAAUUUAUCUAUCAUUUACCAAAUGUAAUACUGAAAAUAUGUGAAAGAUACUGAUUCACAGAUUCAACAAACCCAAAGAAUCCCAAGCAUCAUAAAUACGAAGAAAUACUCAACUAGAUUCAUCUCAGUGAAGUUGUCAAAAAUAGAGAUCAUAAAAUUAGCAUAGAAAGCAGCAAAAAUUAGAUACUUUCUCGUCCAUGUGGUAAUGUAUUAGAACUUAAUUCCUUUUUAUGGCUGAAUAAUACUCCAUUGUAUGUAUAUACUACAUUUUGUUUAUCCAUUCAUCUGUUUUUUGGACACUUGGAUUGUUUCCAUUUUUGGCUAUGUGAAUAAUGCCACUCUGAAAAUUCAUAUACAAGUAUCUGCUUUCAGUUUCUUUUGAAAACCUGCUUAUUUUUGACAUAUCUUUUGUUUAUAAGCACAAAUCUAUUUAGAAUAAAGCCAGUGGAUAUUUUAUUUCCACAAUCCUUUCAUAAAUACUGUAAGCUCUUACUCUGAGCCAUCAAUAGUUACCAAGAGCACUAUAUAAUAAUCAGAAGCAGCAGCCAGCAGUUAUCUACUGACAAACUCGUUUUUUAUUUUAUUUUAUUUUUUGAGACGGAAUCUUGCCCUGUCUUCCAGGCUGGAGUGCAAUGGCAUGAUCUUGGCUCACCGCAACCUCUGCCUCCCGGGCUCAAAUUAUUCUCCUGCCUCAGCCUUCCGAGUGGCUGGGAUUACAGGUGCCCACCACCACACCCAGCUAAUUUUUGUAUUCUUAGUAGAGAUGGGGUUUCACCAUGUUGGUCAGGCUGGUCUCAAACUCCUGACCUCGUGAUCUGCCCUCCUUGGCCUCCCACAGUGCUGGGAUUACAGGCAUGAGCCACCGCGCCCAGCCCAAACUUGUUUUUAAUUUGCCAAAAACCCUGUGACAUUUAUGUAUUGACAAAAAUUCUCUUCCUGAUCAAAUUUUACUCAGGCUCUCCUGAACCCUUUUCAACUAGGCCUGACUUUUGGACUUCCACAUUCAUCUCUGCACCAUUCAGUUUUAGCAAGAAUCCUGUGAAGCAAGUUUAGCCAGAACCCCCCAUCCAUGACAUGUGAUCCCCCAACCAUCCUCCAGGUGAUGCCUAGUUACUGUGACCUGCCUUCAACUAGAAUCCUCUUAGGUCAAUUUAUCCAGAAUCUCUCCUCACAUCUGAUGUUUUCUUUUAGUAAUUUGUCAUCCACUGACCCCACCCUGCUCCUUAGCUACCACUUCCCACUUGCCCAUGUCAUAUUCAGAUUGAGUCCAAUCAUUCUCCAUUGUAGUGGUUCCUAUAGCUAUUGGCAUGGCCCCUCUUGAAAAAAGUCUUCCUUACUAUGCUUUAACAAGUGUCAAAAAUAAUUUUUCUGUGUGUAUUUUAAUAUGUUAUUUCUCCCUUGGGCCAACAUAACUAGGAAGAAAACUUCAAAUAAUGCUUAAGAGAAGUUUAUACUACCUUUUGGUCUUUAAAAUUUUCAUUUCUGGAUAAACUUAGUUUUAUCUCAGGGAAGUGCUGUCCUUCCUCUAGCUCUAGGAUCAAAAUUACUGUAGUAGGCUCAAUAAAGUUUUUCAAAGACAUCAGGUCCUAGUCUCUAGAACCCCUAAAUGUUAACCGUAUUUGGAAAAAGGGUCUUUGCAGAUGUGAUUAAAGAUUUUGAGAUAGGGAGGUUAUAAAAGUAAG